rnacentral:rRNA from 1 species
GUAGCGGCGAGCGAACGGGGAGCAGCCCAGAGUCUGAAUCAGCUUGUGUGUUAGUGGAACGGUCUGGAAAGUCCGACGGUACAGGGUGAUAGUCCCGUACACCAAAAUGCACAGGCUGUGAACUCGAAGAGUAGGGCGGGACACGUGGUAUCCUGUCUGAAUAUGGGGGGACCAUCCUCCAAGGCUAAAUACUCCUGACUGACCGAUAGUGAACCAGUACCGUGAGGGAAAGGCGAAAAGAACCCCGGCGAGGGGAGUGAAAAAGAACCUGAAACCGUGUACGUACAAGCAGUGGGAGCACCUUCGGGUGUGACUGCGUACCUUUUGUAUAAUGGGUCAGCGACUUAUAUUCUGUAGCAAGGUUAACCGUAUAGGGGAGCCGCAGGGAAACCGAGUCUUAACUGGGCGUUAAGUUGCAGGGUAUAGACCCGAAACCCGGUGAUCUAGCCAUGGGCAGGUUGAAGGUUGGGUAACACUAACUGGAGGACCGAACCGACUAAUGUUGAAAAAUUAGCGGAUGACUUGUGGCUGGGGGUGAAAGGCCAAUCAAACCGGGAGAUAGCUGGUUCUCCCCGAAAGCUAUUUAGGUAGCGCCUCGUGAAUUCAUCUUCGGGGGUAGAGCACUGUUUCGGCUAGGGGGUCAUCCCGACUUACCAACCCGAUGCAAACUACGAAUACCGAAGAAUGUUAUCACGGGAGACACACGGCGGGUGCUAACGUCCGUCGUGAAGAGGGAAACAACCCAGACCGCCAGCUAAGGUCCCAAAGUCAUGGUUAAGUGGGAAACGAUGUGGGAAGGCACAGACAGCCAGGAUGUUGGCUUAGAAGCAGCCAUCAUUUAAAGAAAGCGUAAUAGCUCACUGGUCGAGUCGGCCUGCGCGGAAGAUGUAACGGGGCUAAACCAUGCACCGAAGCUGCGGCAGCGACACUAUGUGUUGUUGGGUAGGGGAGCGUUCUGUAAGCCUGCGAAGGUGACCUGUGAGGGUUGCUGGAGGUAUCAGAAGUGCGAAUGCUGACAUAAGUAACGAUAAAGCGGGUGAAAAGCCCGCUCGCCGGAAGACCAAGGGUUCCUGUCCAACGUUAAUCGGGGCAGGGUGAGUCGACCCCUAAGGCGAGGCCGAAAGGCGUAGUCGAUGGGAAACAGGUUAAUAUUCCUGUACUUGGUGUUACUGCGAAGGGGGGACGGAGAAGGCUAUGUUAGCCGGGCGACGGUUGUCCCGGUUUAAGCAUGUAGGCUGGUUAUCCAGGCAAAUCCGGAUAAUCAAGGCUGAGGUGUGAUGACGAGGCACUACGGUGCUGAAGUAACAAAUGCCCUGCUUCCAGGAAAAGCCUCUAAGCAUCAGGUAACAUCAAAUCGUACCCCAAACCGACACAGGUGGUCAGGUAGAGAAUACCAAGGCGCUUGAGAGAACUCGGGUGAAGGAACUAGGCAAAAUGGUGCCGUAACUUCGGGAGAAGGCACGCUGGUGUGUAGGUGAAGUCCCUGCGGAUGGAGCUGAGACCAGUCGAAGAUACCAGCUGGCUGCAACUGUUUAUUAAAAACACAGCACUGUGCAAACACGAAAGUGGACGUAUACGGUGUGACGCCUGCCCGGUGCCGGAAGGUUAAUUGAUGGGGUUAUCCGUAAGGAGAAGCUCUUGAUCGAAGCCCCGGUAAACGGCGGCCGUAACUAUAACGGUCCUAAGGUAGCGAAAUUCCUUGUCGGGUAAGUUCCGACCUGCACGAAUGGCGUAAUGAUGGCCAGGCUGUCUCCACCCGAGACUCAGUGAAAUUGAACUCGCUGUGAAGAUGCAGUGUACCCGCGGCAAGACGGAAAGACCCCGUGAACCUUUACUAUAGCUUGACACUGAACAUUGAGCCUUGAUGUGUAGGAUAGGUGGGAGGCUUUGAAGCGUGGACGCCAGUCUGCGUGGAGCCAACCUUGAAAUACCACCCUU